rnacentral:rRNA from 1 species
UGGGGAAUAUUGGGCAAUGGGCGAAAGCCUGACCCAGCAACGCCGCGUGAAGGAAGAAGGCUUUCGGGUUGUAAACUUCUUUUCUCAGGGACGAAGCAAGUGACGGUACCUGAGGAAUAAGCCACGGCUAACUACGUGCC